AGACACGGCCCAGACUCCUACGGGAGGCAGCAGUGGGGAAUAUUGCACAAUGGGCGCAAGCCUGAUGCAGCGACGCCGCGUGAGGGAUGGAGGCCUUCGGGUUGUAAACCUCUUUUAUCGGGGAGCAAGCGAGAGUGAGUUUACCCGUUGAAUAAGCACCGGCUAACUACGUGCCAGCAGCCGCGGUAAUACGUAGGGUGCAAGCGUUAUCCGGAAUUAUUGGGCGUAAAGGGCUCGUAGGCGGUUCGUCGCGUCCGGUGUGAAAGUCCAUCGCUUAACGGUGGAUCCGCGCCGGGUACGGGCGGGCUUGAGUGCGGUAGGGGAGACUGGAAUUCCCGGUGUAACGGUGGAAUGUGUAGAUAUCGGGAAGAACACCAAUGGCGAAGGCAGGUCUCUGGGCCGUUACUGACGCUGAGGAGCGAAAGCGUGGGGAGCGAACAGGAUUAGAUACCCUGGUAGUCCACGCCGUAAACGGUGGAUGCUGGAUGUGGGGCCCGUUCCACGGGUUCCGUGUCGGAGCUAACGCGUUAAGCAUCCCGCCUGGGGAGUACGGCCGCAAGGCUAAAACUCAAAGAAAUUGACGGGGGCCCGCACAAGCGGCGGAGCAUGCGGAUUAAUUCGAUGCAACGCGAAGAACCUUACCUGGGCUUGACAUGUUCCCGACGGUCGUAGAGAUACGGCUUCCCUUCGGGGCGGGUUCACAGGUGGUGCAUGGUCGUCGUCAGCUCGUGUCGUGAGAUGUUGGGUUAAGUCCCGCAACGAGCGCAACCCUCGCCCCGUGUUGCCAGCGGAUUAUGCCGGGAACUCACGGGGGACCGCCGGGGUUAACUCGGAGGAAGGUGGGGAUGACGUCAGAUCAUCAUGCCCCUUACGUCCAGGGCUUCACGCAUGCUACAAUGGCCGGUACAACGGGAUGCGACGCGGCGACGCGGAGCGGAUCCCUGAAAACCGGUCUCAGUUCGGAUCGCAGUCUGCAACUCGACUGCGUGAAGGCGGAGUCGCUAGUAAUCGCGAAUCAGCAACGUCGCGGUGAAUGCGUUCCCGGGCCUUGUACACACCGCCCGUCAAGUCAUGAAAGUGGGCAGCACCCGAAGCCGGUGGCCUAACCCCUUGUGGGAUGGAGCCGUCUAAGGUGAGGCUCGUGAUUGGGACUAAGUCGUAACAAGGUAGCCGUACCGGAAGGUGCGGCUG
rnacentral:rRNA from 1 species